GGAAGCAGGGGAUCGUAAGAACCUUAUGCUUUUGGAGUGGCCGAUGUCUGAUUAGCUAGUUGGUGGGGUAAAGGCCUACCAAGGCAACGAUCAGUAGUUGGUCUGAGAGGACGACCAGCCACACUGGGACUGAGACGCGGCCCAGACUCCUACGGGAGGCAGCAGUGGGGAAUUUUGGACAAUGGGCGCAAGCCUGAUCCAGCAAUGCCGCGUGAGUGAAGAAGGCCUUCGGGUUGUAAAGCUCUUUCAGUUGGGAAGAAAAGAUUGUGAUGAAUAAUUACAAUUCAUGACGGUACCGAAAGAAGAAGCACCGGCUAACUACGUGCCAGCAGCCGCGGUAAUACGUAGGGUGCAAGCGUUAAUCGGAAUUACUGGGCGUAAAGGGUGCGCAGGCGGCUCUGUAAGUCAGAUGUGAAAUCCCCGGGCUUAACCUGGGAACUGCGUUUGAAACUACAAAGCUAGA
rnacentral:rRNA from 1 species